AGCAGCCGCGGUAAUUCCAGCUCCAAUAGCGUAUAUUAAAGUUGUUGCAGUUAAAAAGCUCGUAGUUGAAUUUCGGGAUCAGUUGAUCGGUCGUGCCUCGGUACGUACUGGUCAAAUUGAUUCCUACCUUCUGACGAACCACGAUGUCAUUAAUUUGGUGUCGCGGGAAAUCAGGACUGUUACUUUGAAAAAAUUAGAGUGUUUAAAGCAGGCUCGCGCUUGAAUACAUUAGCAUGGAAUAAUGAAAUAGGACGUUUGAUUCUAUUUUGUUGGUUUCUAGGAUCGACGUAAUGAUUAAUAGGGAUAGUUGGGGGCAUUAGUAUUCAAUUGUCAGAGGUGAAAUUCUUGGAUUUAUUGAAGACUAACUACUGCGAAAGCAUUUGCCAAGGAUGUUUUCAUUAAUCAAGAACGAAAGUUAGGGGAUCGAAGACGAUCAGAUACCGUCGUAGUCUUAACCAUAAACUAUGCCGACUAGGGAUCGGAUGAUGUUAAUUUUUUAAUGACUCAUUCGGCGUACCCG
rnacentral:rRNA from 1 species